rnacentral:rRNA from 1 species
AGUGAACGCUGGCGGUAGGCCUAACACAUGCAAGUCGAACGGCAGCACAGUAAGAGCUUGCUCUUACGGGUGGCGAGUGGCGGACGGGUGAGGAAUACAUCGGAAUCUACUUUUUCGUGGGGGAUAGCGUAGGGAAACUUACGCUAAUACCGCAUACGACCUACGGGUGAAAGCAGGGGAUCUUCGGACCUUGCGCGAUUGAAUGAGCCGAUGUCGGAUUAGCUAGUUGGCGGGGUAAAGGCCCACCAAGGCGACGAUCCGUAGCUGGUCUGAGAGGAUGAUCAGCCACACUGGAACUGAGACACGGUCCAGACUCCUACGGGAGGCAGCAGUGGGGAAUAUUGGACAAUGGGCGCAAGCCUGAUCCAGCCAUACCGCGUGGGCGAAGAAGGCCUUCGGGUUGUAAAGCCCUUUUGUUGGGAAAGAAAAGCAGCAGGUUAAUACCCCGCUGUUCUGACGGUACCCAAAGAAUAAGCACCGGCUAACUUCGUG